rnacentral:lncRNA from 1 species
GAAAAAAAUCUUUAAAGAAUAGGAAGAUUUUCGUUGUCAAGAAACAAUACAAUUCCUUUUGUGUUUUAUUUUGCGUAGAAAAACUGUUAUAAAAAGGUGUGUCAAUGGUAUAUAAACAAACUCCAUAUGUUCCAUACACCCGUGUUUCCCUAAUCGACCAAACACCAAAACACAAGGUAAAUAAAAUACAGCAAAGUUUUGAAAUAACUGAUUUUUUUUCCUAUGUUUUAAGAUUUUAAGGGGGGUUAUGAUUUUCUCUAUAUCACGUAUGUCUAAUGAGUUCAUUAAUUUUCCAUUAUAUAUCUUAAACUAAAUCUACCACAAUUUACUUUACAAAUUUUGUUUCGUGUUUUUAUCAUUCGGAAAUUUGUGCGCACGAACAUUAUAUGUUAUGAUAAUCAUAUAUUUCAGGUGAACAAUUAAAUUCCUAAAAUUUAGCCCUGUUAUCUAUGAUGAGUUUAUUUGCAGAAUGAAAAUAUUGAAGAUUCUGUGUGCGAUAUUCAUGAUGCUAAUGGCAGUUUUAGCAGGAAAAGUCAGUGGAAAGCCACCAGUUGGAAGGCUCGAAUUUGACAAAAUACGACCACCAAUUGGAGGGCUUCGUUUUAACAGAGUUAAAAGAGAUACUAAUAACCAACAUUUGGAUAGAACCUUGGGAUUACUGGUAAUUACAAAUCUUAAGAAUUGCUUAUUCAGAACAUAAAGUUUAAUAAUAAUAAUAAUAAUAAUAAUAAUAAUAAUAAUAAUAAUAAUAAUAAUAAUAAUAAUAAUAAUAAUAAUAAUAAUAAAUAAUAUUAAUAAUAAUACUAAUAAUAAUGAUAAGAAGAAGAAGAAGAAGAAUCUGAGGAUAAUGUACAGAGAUGUAUUGUUUUCUAAGACAAGUUCGUGUGUGGAGGAUAAAUAAAUGACAGGAAAUCCAACCUCACCGUAAUAACUAUUUUAUUGUAGUGAUACAAAUCAGUAUACACUGGUUUGUGGUUAUAUUUUAUAUUAAUGUAACAGUAACAUGUAUAUAUAAUUUUCAUGCAUUUGUAAAUCAUUCUAUUCUACUAUUCUAAUAAUAGUGCAGUACAAGUACAUUCUUCUGUAAAAUUCGUUUUUUCUAAAAGAUUGGAUAUGAGUAGGCAUUCAUAUUUUCCCGCAAAAACAAUUACAGAGUUACCGUUCCUUGCCAGGAUUGUCGUGCAACAUUCUUGAGAUAUUCUUCCGCAAGCUUUAACACACUUUUUCGGUACGUGUGCGUAGAUAUUAUCAAUGACUUUUUACUUAUAAAUAUAGAUUAUUACAUUGAUACAAGUGGAUUAUCGAACUUAUCCAAUCGAGAUAGUUAAAUUAUCAAUUUUAAAGUCCGAGCCUCGGCGAGGACUUUAAAAUUGAUAAUUUAACUAUUUUGUUCUGAACAAAAAUAUUUUUAUCAGUAUUCAUUGAAGAGAUGUAUGUAUAACAAACAAAAUGGAAUUUUAGUUUGCACUAGUUAAUAUCCGCGUAUUUAUCAUGUUUAUAGAUCGGUUAAAACCGAGUGACGUGUGCAAAUCUAGGCUAUAGCAAUACAUCAGAAUGCCCUCACGGUCAUCUUGAUGUAAAAAUAAAUAUAAUUGUAUUUUUCAGGUAAAAAGAGAUUAGAUGAUCUGUGGCACCACAAACUGGAUAUUUCAUCAUUGAAACUGAACUAAAUAGAUUUUGAUUUUGUAAUUGGUCUCUGUAUUAGUGUUUAUUUCAUAUUUUUAAAUGAU